rnacentral:rRNA from 1 species
UACGAAGGGGGCUAGCGUUGCUCGGAAUGACUGGGCGUAAAGGGCGCGUAGGCGGAAUGCUUUGUCGGGCGUGAAAUUCCAGGGCUCAACCUUGGGGCUGCGUUCGAGACGGGUAUUCUUGAGUUCGGAAGAGGGUCGUGGAAUUCCCAGUGUAGAGGUGAAAUGCGCAGAUAUCAGGAGGAACACCGGUGGCGAAGGCGGGUCUCUGGGCCGAAAC